rnacentral:rRNA from 1 species
AUUGAACGCUGGCGGCAGGCCUAACACAUGCAAGUCGAACGGUAGCACAGAGAGCUUGCUCUCGGGUGACGAGUGGCGGACGGGUGAGUAACGUCUGGGAAGCUGCCCGAUGGAGGGGGAUAACUACUGGAAACGGUAGCUAAUACCGCAUAACGUCGCAAGACCAAAGUGGGGGACCUUCGGGCCUCACACCAUCGGAUGUGCCCAGAUGGGAUUAGCUAGUAGGUGGGGUAAUGGCUCACCUAGGCGACGAUCCCUAGCUGGUCUGAGAGGAUGACCAGCCGAACUGGGACUGAGACACGGUCCAGACUCCUAAGGGAGGCAGCAGUGGGGAAUAUUGCACAAUGGGCGCAAGCCUGAUGCAGCCAUGCCGCGUGUAUGAAGAAGGCCUUCGGGUUGUAAAGUACUUUCAGCGGGGAGGAAGGCGGUGAAGAUAAUAGCUUCACCGAUUGACGUUACCCGCAGAAGAAGCACCGGCUAACUCCGUGCCAGCCGCCGCGGUAA